UUACAUCCACUUCAUUUGAACUUUGGUGGAUAGUUGUCUCAUUGGCAAUCAUACCGCAUCUCCUUAUUUUUAUACGACCGCAAAAAAAUUUUUGUGGUCGUAUAUUGGUAUGACGUUGGCGUCGUCGUCGUCGUCCGGCGUCGUCGUCCGAAGACGCAUUAGUUUUCGCACUCUAACUUUAGUUUAAGUAAAUGGAUCUCUGUGAAAUUUUACCAUAAGGUUCAAUACCACAAAAGGAAGGUGGGGAUUGAUUUUGGGGGUUAUGGUACCAACAGUUAAGGAAUUAGGGGCCAAAAAGGGGCCAAAAAUAAGCAUUUUCUAGUUUCCAGACAAUAACUGUGGAACGGUGUAUGGAUCUCUCUGAAAUUAUACUACAAGUUUCCAUACCACAAAGGGAUGGUUAGGAUUUGCUUUGGGGGGUUAUGGCUCAAACCGUUUAAGAAUUAGGGGCAAAAAAGGGGGAAAAACAAGGUUGUCCUGGUUAAUGGACAAAUACUUUAGUACAAAACAUAAUUUAAAGCAGUGUAAGGGAGAUAAAUCAAAUACAUCAUUGAAAUUAUCUCCCUUACACUGCUUUUAAAUUAUGUAUAAAGUAAUGGUUAAUGAACAAUUAAGAUAAUUUAAAACAGUGUAAGGGAGGUAAUCCAAAUACAACGUUUUGGUUACUUCCCUUACACUGCUUUUAAAUUAUGUUUAAAGAAAUGCAUAUUUAUAAAGGAAGACCAGUAAAAAUAUCUGCAAAUGUUGCAUCAUUUUAUUUUACAAAAAAAUCUAUAUGAAAGAUUUGACACUAUAUUUUUAAUUCUUUUAUAAAAUAGAUUAAGUUAGCACUAUGGUAAAAUUAAAUGGGUAAUUAUGGUUGCCAACUCCAUUGGAAAUUUGAAUUGAGAUUAUGACCAUAUCUUGAGGGAAAGAAUUU